GAAGAGUGUGCUAUCGUUGCGUUUAUAGAAGCCUUGGAAUGUGUGUCUAUACUUCCUGAAAGCUGAUUAUGGUAUAGCGAAGAAGUGUGUCCCAUUCUGGCGUUUAUGAUUUCAAAGGUGAUUUCCCUGUGAGGCCGCAGCGAAGAGCGUGCUAUCGUUGCGUUUAUAGAAGCCUUGGAAUGAGUGCUAUACUUCCUGAGAGCUGAUUAUGGUAUAGCGAAGAAGUGUGCCCCAUUCUAGCGUUUAUGAUUUCAAAGGUGAUUUCCCUGUGAGGCCGUAGCGAAGAGCGUGCUAUUGUUGCGUUUAUAGAAGCCUUGCAAUGUGUGUCUAUACUUCCUGAAAGCUGAUUAUGGUAUAGCGAAGAAGUGCGUCCCAUCCUGGCGUUUAUGAUUUCAAAGGUGAUUUCCCUGUGAGGCCGUAGCGAAGAGCGUGCUAUCGUUGCGUUUAUAGAAGCCUCAGAAUGUGUGUCUAUAUUUCCUGAAAGCUGAUUAUGGUAUAGCGAAGAAGUGUGUCCCAUUCUAGCGUUUAUGAUGUCAAAGUUAAUUUCCCUGUGAGGCCGUAGCGAAGAGCGUGCUAUCGUAGCGUUUAUAGAAGCUUUGGAAUGUGUGUCUAUAUCCUGAAAGCUGAUUAUGGUAUAGCGAAGAAGUGUGUCCCAUUCUAGCGUUUAUGAUGUCAAAGGUGAUUUCCCCGUGAGGCCGUAGCGAAGAGCGUGCUAUCGUAGCGUUUAUAGAAGCCUUGGAAUGUGUGUCUAUAUUUCCUGAAAGCUGAUUAUGGUAUAGCGAAGAAGUGUGUCCCAUUCUGGUGUUUAUGAUGUCAAAGAUGGUUUCCCUGUGAGGCCGUAGCGAACAGGUGCUAUCGUUGCGUUUAUAGAAGCCUUGGAAUGUGUGUCUAUACUUCCUGAGAGCUGAUUAUGGUAUAGCGAAGAAGUGUGUCCCAUUCUAGCGUUUAUGAUGUCAAAGAUGGUUUCCCUGUGAGGCCGUAGCGAAGAGCGUGCUAUCGUUGCGUUUAUAGAAGCCUUGGAAUGUGUGUCUAUACUUCCUGAAAGCUGAUUAUGGUAUAGCAAAGAAGUGUGUCCCAUUCUAGCGUUUAUGAUGUCAAAGAUGGUUUCCCCGUGAGGCCGUAGCGAAGAGCGUGCUAUCGUUGCGUUUAUAGAAGCCUUGGAAUGUGUGUCUAUACUUCCUGAAAGCUGAUUAUGGUAUAGCGAAGAAGUUUGUCCCAUCCUGGCGUUUAUGAUUUCAAAGGUGAUUUCCCCGUGAGGCCGUAGCGAAGAGCGUGCUAUCGUAGCGUUUAUAGAAGCCUUGGAAUGUGUGUCUAUACUUCCUGAGAGCUGAUUAUGGUAUAGCGAAGAAGUGUGUCCCAUUCUGGCGUUUAUGAUUUCAAAGAUGGUUUCCCCGUGAGGCCGUAGCGAAGAGCGUGCUAUCGUAGCGUUUAUAGAAGCCUUGGAAUGUGUGUCUAUACUUCCUGAAAGCUGAUUAUGGUAUAGCGAAGAAGUGUGUCCCAUUCUGGCGUUUAUGAUUUCAAAGGUGAUUUCCCCGUGAGGCCGUAGCGAACAGGUGCUUUCGAGGUGUUUAUUGAAGCCUUGGAUCGGUGUAACUCUACUUAUGGAAUGUGUAAGGGUGCAGGAUAAGGGAUAGGAUAAGCCUGGAGUGUAUUAGAGAGAGAACAUCGGAUGGGGAACUCAAGCAAAUUCAACCCACUAACUAAUCAUACAACUCAAAAACUAGUUGAUUUAACCCGGUAGCAGCGGGGACCAUGUUUCUUAAUGGUCCCUCUAAGCAAGAAAAAUUAGAAAAAAUCAUCACUCACACAAACCAUUUCAUAAUAUAUAUCAAAGCAUUUGUGAUCAGAUUAUGUAUCAUCUAUUUUUUGGGGUUUAUAUCAUGGCACAAAUUUGGCCCGUCGCUGCUACACGGUAAAGCCACAAAUUUGGCCCGUCACUGCUACACGGUAAAGCCACAAAUUUGGCCCGUCACUGCUACACGGUGAAGCCACAAAUUUGGCCUGUCGCUGCUACACGGUAAAGCCACAAAUUUGGCCCGUCGCUGCUACACGGUAAAGCCACAAAUUUGGCUCGUCGCUGCUACACGGUAAAGCCACAAAUUUGGCCUGUCGCUGCUACACGGUAAAGCCACAAAUUUGGCCCGUCGCUGCUACACGGUAAAGCCACAAAUUUGGCCCGUCGCUGCUACACGGUAAAGCCACAAAUUUGGCCCGUCGCUGCUACUGGGUUAAAGGGUGUCAUAGGACCUGAUUCUAGUUGGAGGAUGUGUUUGUGAAAGGGUAUGAGAAGGAGGUGAUUCUGGUAGGAAGAUAUGCUUGUAAAAUGGUUUCGAAAAGGUGAUUCUAGAGGGGAAAUGUGCUUGUUAUAGGGUGUUGUAAGGAGGUGAUUCUAUUGGGAAGAUAUGCUUGUAAAGAGGUUUUGGAAAAGGUGAUUCUAGAGGGGAAAUGUGCUUGUAAUAGGGUGUCGUAAGGAGGUGAUUCUAGUGCUCAGAGAGGCUUGUAAAAGGUGUGACAAAGAGGUGAUUCUAGAGGGGAAAUGUGCUUGUUAUAGGGUGUCAUAAGGAGGUGAUUCUAGUGCUCAGAGAGGCUUGUAAAAGGUGUGACAAAGAGGUGAUUCUAGUAGGGAGAUGUGCUUGUUAUAGGGUGUGUCAAAAGAGGUGAUUCUAUUAGGGAAUUUGGCACAUAAGGACUGGUAAUAUUGUGUUGCUGUAUCGUCAAACCUGGUGAAGGAAUGAAUGUGUGUCUGUGUGUGUGUGUGUGUGUGUGUGUGUGUGUGUGUGUGUGUGUGUGUGUGUGUGUGUGUGUGUGUGUGUGUGUGUGUGUGUGUGUUGUGAUGUGCAUAUCAGGAAAACAAAAACAGAAAAGCACUUGUUACGUUAGAAAGUAUAUGUGUGUGUGUGUGUGUGUGUGUGUGCGUUUUAUGAGGAAAAAACGCAAUUAAAUGUAGUAUGUGCGUUUAUGUAUGUGUGUGUAAGUGUGUGCGACCUUCUAAUAAUCUCGCGGUCUUUCAAAAACGUACAUAAGAUAAAGUAAAUUGUGUGUGUGUGCGUGUGUGUGUGUGUGUGUACGUAAUUCAUUUUCUUAACUCUGCAUAUUUACGAAAAACAAAAAAGAAGAUUGAAAAAAAAAUUGAAAGACAAAAUUGAAAUAGAACAUGUGCAUAUCUGUGAGUGUGUGUGUGUGUGUGUGUGUGUGUGUGUGUGUGUGUGUGUGUGU